CCCUUUGAUACUCUGGGCGGCACGCGCGCUACACUGGUUUAUAUAACGUGUAAUUUGGACGAUAGUCUGUAUAAAUCACUAAUAUAAUACCGUGAAUGGGAUAGUUUAUUGCAACUUACAAACUUUAACUAGGAAUCCCUUGUAGAAGUAGUGAAUUAUACUGCUUCGAAUACGUCCCUGCCGAUUGUACACACCGCCCGUCGUUUCUUCCGACUGGUACUCAUUGUGAAUUGUGAGGAGAUUCUGUCAAAUCGUUGUAAAUGCUGGGUAUUGGAGGAAGAAAAAGUCGUAACA
rnacentral:rRNA from 1 species